ACCUGGGUGGUUCAGUCGGUUGAGCAUCCGACUUUAGCUCGGGUCAUGGUCUCACGGCCCCGUGGGUUCGAGUCCCGCGUCGGGCC
rnacentral:tRNA from 1 species